CUGCAAUGCAGCAUCCCUCCUUGCCUGCAGAUUAACCUGUGCUUGUUCUAUUGCAGAGAGGAAGGCAGGGAACCGGACUCCUGGAGCACCUUGUCUCACACCGUGCACUCGGGGGACUACAGCGUGAAGCACCACCGUGGGCUUGAUGUUUACAUUCUGACGGCUGCAGCCAAGGAAGGGGAAGCAGCCAACUGGGAGAGUGACAUACGGCACCUUCAGAUGCACAUGCGGAGCCACCAGCACAUGAGUUUAAGGCAGCAUUCAGAGCCUGUGCUGGGAGAUUCUGGAGACAGCUGUGCUAAGGGAGCAGAGCCAGAUGGUCACCCGACGACUGCUUCUCAGAGCCCAGAAGAAAUGGCAAGAGAAGGAAGGCAGGAAAGUCCAUCCGAUCCUGUUCAUCUGGACGUUGGGCAGCUCUCAGACCAAAUCCACCAGGAGCAGAAAUGCAACAGCAGGAGUUUGGGAGCUUUUAAUGAUGUGCCAAAUGACUCGCUGAGCCUGGGGUAUGCACAGAACCCGGAGUGCUUCUGUGAAAGUAAAAAUGUGACGUUGAGUAAAAAGGAAGAGGAGGGGCUGACCUCUGCUGAAGGCUCUGGGACUGUAUCGGAUGAGAAGGAGUGCACAGGGAGCCUGUUCGCAAGGGUAAACGGUGCCGUGAAUCUUCCGUCCUGUGGAAAUACAAAUGAGGAAGCUGGAAUGACAUCUGCUGGGGUUGUUCUGGAUCAAGCUGGCUUGUGCGGUAAAGACGGGCCCCAUCAGGAAGCACAAGGUGCUGAGGAGCAUUCAGCUGCUUCUGUGGUUGAAACUGCAGGUGAAGCCCCAGCUUCCUUGGAGGGGGUGGAUGUGGCUAUGGGCCAAACUGAGUGCAGGAACUGUGCAGGGGCAGCAGAGAGGGCUUCAGGCCAGCAGCAGGUAGAGGAUGGGAUAGCCAAGGCCGGUGAAAGGAGGACUGCAAGCCUAAAACAGUUGCCUGCUAAGGAAGAGUCAGCUGGUUCUGCUCAGCCCUUACUGAGUGCUGAAGAUGUGGGAGUGGUACCAGCAUGUGAUGAUACAAAUGCAGAUGCUGGCACUACAGAGCUUUCUGCUGACCUGUGCAAGACUGGUGAUAACAAGGAGACUGGAGCAGACUCAUGCACUGGUCAAGUAAACAGUAAUUUCUUGAAAAGUCAAGGUGAUACCCAUGUCACAGCAAGUCGGGAUGUUACUGUGAGCGCUGGGGCAGCGUUGCCAGCAGUGAAUGGGGUGAAGGUUCCUGCCUGUGCAUCACAACCUGCUCCUGGUUUGGAAAUCAAUGGCAGUGGUAAGAGUGGGGAGCAAGAAGAGCAGGUGGAAGCAGGUUGCAUGGAUAGGAAAUCCAGCUUGCCCUCACUGGAAGACAGUAUAGAAACUGAUGGCCCUGAUGCUAAACCUGAAAACAAUGAUGUUGGUAGAUCUAAUGAAAGCAAUGCAGAGCCUGCAUGUGGCCAGGAGAGCAAUAAGAUCACUGAACGUGUGGCUGAAGCAGCAAAGGGCAGCGAAGCCCAUGAGGAGGAGCCAGAAGGAACUGAUACCAGCAGCAGUGGAGAUGGAGGAAGCGCAGAUUCUUCAGGCGGAGGUCAGGAAGUUGCUAGCGGUUGCCCUUGUGCUGAUCAGACUGUUGUUAAAGAUGAAAUGGGUGACAGCUUCAAACCGGAUGCUGCUCAAGAGAGCAAACAAGAGCCUGCAUCGCUCCCUCCGGAGGAUGCAGGCACAUGCCUGACAGAAAAAGAGCCUGCACAAACUGAGAUAGCAGAAACUACUUUGGAGCAGGAGGGGCUGAAUGGCGAGAUGGAAUCACCCAGAGGAGAGGGACCCUCUGUGAGUCAGGAGGGAGAUGCUGCAGUGGCAUCUCUGGGGCAAGAGGCAGCUCUACAAGGUAAUGACCCUGGAUUAGCACCGUGUGCCAAGGGUGCAGACUGCGCAGAGGAUAAUUUAGUGGGCACACCCUCUGCAGUUCACAUUGGAGAACCUCAACAAAACCAGGAAGCAGUGGAGGCAGCAGCAGGCUCGGCAGAGCUGGCCUGGCAGCACUGGGGGGAGCAUGGCAGCGUAGCUGCUGUUGCUGGGUGGCCUGGGGACCAUGCAGGGGAUGAGGGGUCUCCUGAGCAGAGCCUCUCACAGCAGGCUGAAGGAGGCAAAGCUGAGCCCAAUCAGGAAGCUUGUGCAAGUGGCAGGGAGCAGGUUUUGUUGGAGGAAUUUCUUGCUGUGAAACCCUCUGUCUGCAGUAAGGGGGGGCCUGUGGCAAGCAGUAGCAAUGUUGAUGCUGGGCUGAAAGGGGCAGUCUGUGCUGGAGAAGUGUGCAAGGCUGGGGCAGUGUGUGCAGGAGAAGGCAUCAUGCAUGGACCUGCAUCAGCAGGUGAGUCACCGGGUGUGGAGAGCAGCCCUGGUCCAGAUACAGGGCUGAACCAGGAACAUGAUCCUGGUCAAACACUACAACAAACCUCCCCGUGCAGCAGCACCCCCGACUUAAAGGCUGCUUCAGAAAUGGGAGCCCCAACCGAUGCCUGUGAGGGUAAGGAAGUGUUAAGGCCGGUGACAAUACCUCCUGUUGCAGGGUAUCCAGAAGAGCAGGAGGAUAAGGAAAGCGUGCUUCCCCGGGCAGCGCUUCAGCCCAUUGCAGAGGAGCCCACAUGUGACAGCGACUCCAGCACCGACACUGUUUGUCCUGUCAGUGAGGCCGAUGCUGGUCCUGCUGCAGAAGCAGCUCAGGGGGAGGUCUCAGCUGAGCCCAAUGGAGAACAAAGCCAAGCUGUACCUGCAUCGCCCUUCUCACCGUGUUCGUGCCGUUUACGUGCUGUUGAGUCACUGGAAAAUGUGGGAGUGAGGAGUUCGGUUUCAGCGGAUGGUGGCUCGUCUCUGGAUAAAGGUCCUAAGAUGGUGAAAAGUUUUGAUGCAGUGGUUUUUGCAGCAGAGACACCUUGUUCCCCUGAAUUGCCAGCCACAGAGAAAGCAGGGCUUGAGCCCCAGGCUACAGUGGAUGUGGGAGCCAGCCUUAAUGGAGAGAUGGAUGUAAGUUCCUCGACAAAGAAGAGGAACGGCAGCGCAGCAGUGCAACGAGCUGAGCCUGUUACAGGUAGGAGAAAUCAGUUGGCUUCCUACUUUUUAGUUUUCCCUUUGUAGGUGUGCUUCUAGUGUUUCAGCAGCAGAGGAAGGGAAGUAAGAGCAGGAGGCCUGCCUUGCAGAGGAAGUGUAGGUGUUAGGGUUUUUUUCUUCUGAGAAGGAAGAAAUCUGAAGUUAGAACUUCCUGUUUGUGUUGCUUGGCUGGCACUGGAGGUACGGACAGGGCAUCAUCUCCUGUGAAUUUGUGUAGCAUUUCUAGC
rnacentral:lncRNA from 1 species